UUUGCAUAUAAGGUUUAGUAUAUCUGAAGAUGAAUGUGUAAUUUUUUGUUUUUGUUUUUGACCAAUAUAAAUUCGAGUAAAAAAUUAUAACAAUCUUUUUUUAUAUGCAAUUUUUUCUGAGUUUGAACUUGUAUCAUCAUUCUUAUGUAAAUCUAGUCUAUUUAUUAUUGAACUAACACAUCUUCGGUAAAUAUUAUAGUGUUGCCCCGAAUCCCUCUCACUCCCGACCAGCUCAAGCACUGCACCCAAGCGCUCUCCUUGCUCAAGCAGAAGCUCCUCACUCCUCACACCAUCUCCCAAUAGUUCGCUUACUUGCAGACGAACAGGUUUACACCGAGUCAGAUGAAGAUGAGUUGCAACGUUGCUCUUGAUCCUGUCAAUUCCAGCAAGAAUGACGUGAUACCAUGUAAUAAAUUCACCACUUUAUUUUUUUUUCUAGGAAAUUGAUUUCUACUUGUUUAACUCAGUUGAUAAGAACAGGGUUGUUCUGAAAUCAAGCACUGAUUAUAGGCCUGCAGCAUUGGGGUAUAUCAAUGCAAGCUUUGUCUCGACAUCUUCCCCUGGAGUUGUAUCGUCCCAGUUUAU